UCAGACAUGGCGUUGUGGUGACACGGCCUCUUCACAUGUUGUUUCGACAUUGGUAUUGAGUCGUAUUGGGGGCAGUCCAGGGUUCGAUUCCCUGUGUCUGAA